rnacentral:rRNA from 1 species
AUACGGAGGGGGCUAGCGUUAUCCGGAAUGAUUGGGCGUAAAGUCGUUUGUAGGCGGUAUUUGUUGUUUUAAAUAAAAAGUUAAAGACACACUUUGACAUGUUUUAAAAUACACUUUUACUAGAGUAAAGUAGAGGAUAGCAGAAUUUAAUAAAUAGAGGUAAAAUUCAGAGAUUUAUUGGAGAAUGCCAGCGGCGAAAGCGGCCUAUCUGGGUUUUACUGACGUUGAGAAACGAAGGCGUAGGGAUCAAACAGGUUUUGAUACCCUGGUAGUCUACGCAGUCAAAUAUGAGUGUUAAUAUUAAUAAUUUU